rnacentral:rRNA from 1 species
UGCAGUCGAACGAACUCUGGUAUUGAUUGGUGCUUGCAUCAUGAUUUACAUUUGAGUGAGUGGCGAACUGGUGAGUAACACGUGGGAAACCUGCCCAGAAGCGGGGGAUAACACCUGGAAACAGAUGCUAAUACCGCAUAACAACUUGGACCGCAUGGUCCGAGUUUGAAAGAUGGCUUCGGCUAUCACUUUUGGAUGGUCCCGCGGCGUAUUAGCUAGAUGGUGGGGUAACGGCUCACCAUGGCAAUGAUACGUAGCCGACCUGAGAGGGUAAUCGGCCACAUUGGGACUGAGACACGGCCCAAACUCCUACGGGAGGCAGCAGUAGGGAAUCUUCCACAAUGGACGAAAGUCUGAUGGAGCAACGCCGCGUGAGUGAAGAAGGGUUUCGGCUCGUAAAACUCUGUUGUUAAAGAAGAACAUAUCUGAGAGUAACUGUUCAGGUAUUGACGGUAUUUAACCAGAAAGCCACGGCUAACUACGUGCCAGCAGCCGCGGUAAUACGUAGGUGGCAAGCGUUGUCCGGAUUUAUUGGGCGUAAAGCGAGCGCAGGCGGUUUUUUAAGUCUGAUGUGAAAGCCUUCGGCUCAACCGAAGAAGUGCAUCGGAAACUGGGAAACUUGAGUGCAGAAGAGGACAGUGGAACUCCAUGUGUAGCGGUGAAAUGCGUAGAUAUAUGGAAGAACACCAGUGGCGAAGGCGGCUGUCUGGUCUGUAACUGACGCUGAGGCUCGAAAGUAUGGGUAGCAAACAGGAUUAGAUACCCUGGUAGUCCAUACCGUAAACGAUGAAUGCUAAGUGUUGGAGGGUUUCCGCCCUUCAGUGCUGCAGCUAACGCAUUAAGCAUUCCGCCUGGGGAGUACGGCCGCAAGGCUGAAACUCAAAGGAAUUGACGGGGGCCCGCACAAGCGGUGGAGCAUGUGGUUUAAUUCGAAGCUACGCGAAGAACCUUACCAGGUCUUGACAUACUAUGCAAAUCUAAGAGAUUAGACGUUCCCUUCGGGGACAUGGAUACAGGUGGUGCAUGGUUGUCGUCAGCUCCUGUCCUGAGAUGUUGGGUUAAGUCCCGCAACGAGCGCAACCCUUAUUAUCAGUUGCCAGCAUUAAGUGGGC